UUCUGUAUGAGCUUUCGUAACGUUCGGUUGUGUGACAGUUCAGUGUGGAAGUGAUAAUUCAAAAAAAAACGCAGGCGACAAAAACAAAAUAGGAACUACAUAAUAGAGCUACAGAAAAACAAGAAGAAGGACAAGGACCACACAGGACCAAA
rnacentral:lncRNA from 1 species